UACGUAGGGUGCGAGCGUGUCCGGAAUUAUUGGGCGUAAAGGGCUCGUAGGCGGUCUGUCACGUCGGGAGUGAAAACACGGGGCUUAACCCCGUGCCUGCUUCCGAUACGGGCAGACUAGAGGUAUGCAGGGGGAGAACGGAAUUCCUGGUGUAGCGGUGAAAUGCGCAGAUAUCAGGAGGAACACCGGUGGCGAAGGCGGUUCUCUGGGCAUUACCUGACGCUGAGGAGCGAAAGUGUGGGGAGCGAACAGG
rnacentral:rRNA from 1 species